ensembl:snRNA U6 U6 spliceosomal RNA
GUGCUUGCUUCGGCAGCACAUAUAAUAAAAUUGGAACGCUACAGAGAAGAUUAGCAUGGCCCCUGCUCAAGGAUGACAUGCAAAUUCGUGAAGCGUUUCAUUUUUUU